rnacentral:rRNA from 1 species
ACGAACGCUGGCGGCAGGCUUAACACAUGCAAGUCGAACGGUUGUAGCAAUACAGCAGUGGCAGACGGGUGAGUAACACGUGGGAACCUUCCUAGGGGUACGGAACAACUCAGGGAAACUUGAGCUAAUACCGUAUACGUCCGUGAGGAGAAAGUUUUAACGCCCCUAGACGGGCCCGCGUAGGAUUAGGUAGUUGGUGAGGUAACGGCUCACCAAGCCUACGAUCCUUAGCUGAUCUGAGAGGANGAUCAGCCACACUGGGACUGAGACACGGCCCAGACUCCUACGGGAGGCAGCAGUGGGGAAUCUUGGACAAUGGGCGCAAGCCUGAUCCAGCCAUGCCGCGUGAGUGAAGAAGGCCUUCGGUUG